CCCCGCCUCCUUUGCGGCUGCGCGGCGCCAGCAAGCGUUAGAUUCUGAGUGGCAAUUUUCUUUGCGCUCUGUGAGUGGAACCCCAGGCCUUCCUGACUGGGCCGGGGUUCUCACGUUAAGGCAAGCCCACAUUACUCCAGCCGCCGAACCACAGUCUCCCCGAGCAGUCGAGCUCAAGGGCAAAGAAACAGGCCCAGGAUGUAAAGACCCUUGCCCAGGUCAGUGGCUAGCAGUGGUGGAAAUGAAACUCAACUCCAGGACCUGGGCCUGCCUCUUCAGGGAGCUCAACCAACAUCUGCCAACUAGUGAAGAAGCCAGGACAGGCCCAUGUCACCUUCUCUACCUCUUGGUCUCCUGGAUCACAAGCCUGCCUGUCACUAUCAUUGCUGGAACAGGAGGGGAUUUCCAGGCACCAGUUGGAGAAGCUUUGGAAAUGCGACUCAGACACCAUAUGGGGAGAAGAAUGAAGAGAUGGAGGAGAGCCCAUGCCAUUUCACAUAGACCCCAGGAAAGGAGGUAAAGAGAUAAGGAAUAAAGUCCCAAAUGGCCUCAAA